UUCUUUGAGAUUUGCUCUCUAGCUGCUUGUUGAAUCAUACUUUGAAAGUUAUCACUGUUAUGUUUAUAUGUUAAAGUUCGCAAUAAAAAUGCAUUUUAAAAAAAGGUGGGGUGUAUUUUCUCUUCCCUUGAACAUGAGUAGACUGUUGUAACUGCCUUGACUAAGAGAAUGCAGCAGAAAUGACACUAUGUCACUUUUAAGGCUAGGUUACAAAAAAGGCAAUAUGACUUCCUCAUGACUCGCUCUCUCUCUCAGGAUUCUUGCCCUUGGAACCCAGCCACCAUUAAGCCCAGGCUACGGGGAGAGGUCAUGUAUGCACUGGCCGACAGUCCCAGUGGGGUCCAUGUGGUAACGAAUAAACCCUCAGAUGGUUUUCUCUCUGCCUUGAGUCUUCCAGGUAGGCCCCAGACGACACGGAGCAAAGAGAAGCCAUCUGCACUAUGCUCUGUCUGAAUCCCUGACUAAUGGAAGCUGUAGGAAAUAACGAUUGCUGAUUAAGCAGGAAGUAACAGGAUGGAGAGGGAGAACCCACCCCAGUGAAACCAAGAGCUUCAAGAGGCUCAAGAGAGGACACAAGAAGAGAGAAUAGCUUUGUUUAUCCUCAUGUGUUGGUGAAGGUUGAUCGUUUGAAGAGAAAGAAGGACUCCAGUAAAAUUCUGGAGUAUUCAAGUGGUUUAAUAAGAUGAUAUUGAAUUCACUGGAAGCAGAGGCUCAGAGAUGUGCGGGAUACUGAUUACGUGCUUCGACUUGGCGAGCCUGGGCCAGGGGACCGGAU